GACGAACCGUCCAACCGUUAUUCGGAAUUACUGGGCUCAAAGGGUGCGUAGGCGGCGCGGAAAGUUGGGUGUGAAAUCCCUCGGCUCAACCGAGGAACUGCGCCCAAUACUACCGUGCUUGAGGGAGAUAGAGGUGAGCGGAACUUAGGGUGGAGCGGUGAAAUGCGUUGAUAUCCUAAGGAACACCGGUGGCGAAAGCGGCUCACUGGAUCUCUUCUGACGCUGAGGCACGAAAGCUAGGGUAGCGAACGGG
rnacentral:rRNA from 1 species